rnacentral:rRNA from 1 species
GACGAACGCUUGCGACGUGCCUGAGAAAUGCAAGUCGAGCGGGCGCAGGGCCUUUCGGGGUUUUGCGCGAGCGGCGCACGGGUGAGUAACACGUAUGCAACCUGCCUUCUACUAUGGGAUAACCCGUUGAAAGACGGACUAAUACCGUAUAAUACAGGGGCUCCGCAUGGAGAUAUUUGUUAAAGAUUUAUUGGUAGAAGAUGGGCAUGCGUAUGAUUAGAUAGUUGGUGAGGUAACGGCUCACCAAGUCAACGAUCAUUAGGGGUUCUGAGAGGAAGGUCCCCCACACUGGUACUGAGACACGGACCAGACUCCUACGGGAGGCAGCAGUGAGGAAUAUUGGUCAAUGGACGAGAGUCUGAACCAGCCAAGUCGCGUGAAGGAAGACGGUUCUAUGAAUUGUAAACUUCUUUUGUGCAGGAAUAAAGUGGGUUACGUGUAACCUUUUGUAUGUACUGUACGAAUAAGGAUCGGCUAACUCCGUGCCAGCAGCCGCAGUAAUAC